UACAGAGGGUGCAAGCGUUAAUCGGAAUUACUGGGCGUAAAGGGCGCGUAGGUGGUUGCGUAAGUGAGAUGUGAAAUCCCCGGGCUUAACCUGGGAACUGCGUCUUAUACUGCGUAGCUUGAGUACAAUAGAGGGUAGUGGAAUUUCCGGUGUAGCGGUGAAAUGCGUAGAUAUCGGAAGGAACACCAGUGGCGAAGGCGGCUACCUGGAUUGAUACUGACACUGAGGCGCGAGAGCGUGGGGAGCAAACAGG
rnacentral:rRNA from 1 species